rnacentral:rRNA from 1 species
UCGGAGGGAGCUUGCUCCCAAAGAUUAGCGGCGGACGGGUGAGUAACACGUGGGCAACCUGCCUGUAAGACUGGGAUAACUUCGGGAAACCGGAGCUAAUACCGGAUAAUCCUUUUCCUCUCAUGAGGAAAAGCUGAAAGACGGUUUCGGCUGUCACUUACAGAUGGGCCCGCGGCGCAUUAGCUAGUUGGUGAGGUAACGGCUCACCAAGGCCACGAUGCGUAGCCGACCUGAGAGGGUGAUCGGCCACACUGGGACUGAGACACGGCCCAGACUCCUACGGGAGGCAGCAGUAGGGAAUCUUCCGCAAUGGACGAAAGUCUGACGGAGCAACGCCGCGUGAGCGAAGAAGGCCUUCGGGUCGUAAAGCUCUGUUGUCAGGGAAGAACAAGUGCCGGAGUAACUGCCGGCACCUUGACGGUACCUGACCAGAAAGCCACGGCUAACUACGUGCCAGCAGCCGCGGUAAUACGUAGGUGGCAAGCGUUGUCCGGAAUUAUUGGGCGUAAAGCGCGCGCAGGCGGUCCUUUAAGUCUGAUGUGAAAGCCCACGGCUCAACCGUGGAGGGUCAUUGGAAACUGGGGGACUUGAGUGCAGAAGAGGAGAGUGGAAUUCCACGUGUAGCGGUGAAAUGCGUAGAGAUGUGGAGGAACACCAGUGGCGAAGGCGACUCUCUGGUCUGUAACUGACGCUGAGGCGCGAAAGCGUGGGGAGCGAACAGGAUUAGAUACCCUGGUAGUCCACGCCGUAAACGAUGAGUGCU